UACGGGGGGUGCGAGCGUUGUUCGGAAUUAUUGGGCGUAAAGGGCGCGCAGGCGGUUUUUUAAGUCUGAUGUGAAAGCCCCGGGCUUACCCCGGGAAGUGCAUUGGAUACUGGGAGACUUGAGUACGGGAGAGGAGAGCGGAAUUCCUGGUGUAGCGGUGAAAUGCGCAGAUAUCAGGAGGAACACCGGUGGCGAAGGCGGCCCACUGGAUCGGUACUGACGCUGAGGUGCGAAAGCGUGGGGAGCAAACAGG
rnacentral:rRNA from 1 species